GAUGAACGCUGGCGGCGUGCCUAAUACAUGCAAGUCGAGCGAACAGACGAGGAGCUUGCUCCUCUGACGUUAGCGGCGGACGGGUGAGUAACACGUGGAUAACCUACCUAUAAGACUGGGAUAACUUCGGGAAACCGGAGCUAAUACCGGAUAAUAUAUUGAACCGCAUGGUUCAAUAGUGAAAGACGGUUUUGCUGUCACUUAUAGAUGGAUCCGCGCCGCAUUAGCUAGUUGGUAAGGUAACGGCUUACCAAGGCGACGAUGCGUAGCCGACCUGAGAGGGUGAUCGGCCACACUGGAACUGAGACACGGUCCAGACUACUACGGGAGGCAGCAGUAGGGAAUCUUCCGCAAUGGGGGCAAGCCUGACGGAGCAACGCCGCGUGAGUGAUGAAGGUCUUCGGAUCGUAAAACUCUGUUAUUAGGGAAGAACAAAUGUGUAAGUAACUAUGCACGUCUUGACGGUACCUAAUCAGAAAGCCACGGCUAACUACGUG
rnacentral:rRNA from 1 species